rnacentral:rRNA from 1 species
CUUAGCUACUGACGCGAGGGUCUUACACAAAUAUGAAGGCGGGCUGGAACCUCUCGGGGUUACAGCCUUGCUGAAUUAUUCACCCUUGUCUUUUGCGUACUUCUUGUUUCCUUGGUGGUUCGCCCACCACUAGGACAAACAUAAACCUUUUGUAAUUGCAAUCAGCGUCAGUAACAAAAAUAAUUACAACUUUCAACAACGGAUCUCUUGGUUCUGGCAUCGAUGAAGAACGCAGCGAGCGAUAAGUAGUGUGAAUUGCAGAAUUCAGUGAAUCAUCGAAUCUUUGAACGCACAUUGCCUUUGGUAUUCCAAAGGGCAUGCCUGUUCGAGCGUCAUUGUACCCUCAAGCUUUGCUUGGGGCGUCUUGUCUCUAGCUUUGCUGGAGACUCGCCUUAAAGUAAUUGGCAGCCGGCCUACUGGUUUCGGAGCGCAGCACAAGUCGCACUCUCUAUCAGCAAAGGUCUAGCAUCCAUUAAGCCUUUUUUCAACUUGACCCGGAACAAUGGAAUAGCUUCUGCCCUCCUAAUAUGUUCGAAAU